UACAUGUGGGGCAAACGUUAUCCGGAGUUACUGGGCGUAAAGGGCGUGUAGGUGGUUUCGUAAGUCUGGCGUGAAAUUUCUCGGCUUAACCGAGGCAGGUCGUCGGAUACUGCGGAACUUGAGGACGGUAGAGGCGUGUGGAAUUCCGGGUGUAGUGGUGAAAUGCGUAGAGAUCCGGAGGAACACCAGUGGCGAAGGCGACACGCUGGGCCGUACCUGACACUGAUGCGCGACAGCAUGGGGAGCAAACAGG
rnacentral:rRNA from 1 species